CGAUGCGUAGGGGUUCUGAGAGGAAGGUCCCCCACACUGGUACUGAGACACGGACCAGACUCCUACGGGAGGCAGCAGUGAGGAAUAUUGGUCAAUGGGAGAGAUCCUGAACCAGCCAAGCCGCGUGAGGGAAGACGGCCCUAUGGGUUGUAAACCUCUUUUGUCGGAGAACAAAACCCGGGACGUGUCCCGGACUGCGUGUAUCCGAAGAAAAAGCAUCGGCUAACUCCGUGCCAGCAGCCGCGGUAAUACGGAGGAUGCGAGCGUUAUCCGGAUUUAUUGGGUUUAAAGGGUGCGUAGGCGGUCCGUUAAGUCAGCGGUAAAAUUGCGGGGCUCAACCCCGUCGAGCCGUUGAAACUGGCAGACUUGAGUUGGCGAGAAGUACGCGGAAUGCGCGGUGUAGCGGUGAAAUGCAUAGAUAUCGCGCAGAACUCCGAUUGCGAAGGCAGCGUACCGGCGCCAGACUGACGCUGGGGCACGAAAGCGUGGGGAUCGAACAGGAUUAGAUACCCUGGUAGUCCACGCAGUAAACGAUGAAUGCUGGUUGUCCGGGUCGAAUGAGACCUGG
rnacentral:rRNA from 1 species